UACGUAGGGUGCAAGCGUUAAUCGGAAUUACUGGGCGUAAAGCGUGCGCAGGCGGUUGUGUAAGACAGAUGUGAAAAUCCCCGGGCUCAACCUGGGAACUGCAUUUGUGACUGCACAGCUGGAGUGCGGCAGAGGGGGAUGGAAUUCCGCGUGUAGCAGUGAAAUGCGUAGAUAUGCGGAGGAACACCGAUGGCGAAGGCAAUCCCCUGGGCCUGCACUGACGCUCAUGCACGAAAGCGUGGGGAGCAAACAG
rnacentral:rRNA from 1 species